CAAGUCGAGUGCGCGGUUGUAGCAAUACAACUGGCGCACGGCGCACGGGUACGUAACACGUGGGCAAUCUGCCCUUCGAUGGGGAAUAACUCCGGGAAACCGAAGCUAAUUCCGCAUAACAUUCCUUGGACUUCGGUUCGAGGACUCAAAGCCGUAAGGCGUCGAAGGAGGAGCCCGCGCCCGAUUAGCUAGUUGGUGGGGUAACGGCCCACCAAGGCAAUGAUCGGUAGCUGGUCUGAGAGGAUGGCCAGCCACACUGGAACUGAGACACGGUCCAGACUCCUACGGGAGGCAGCAGUGGGGAAUCUUGCACAAUGGGCGAAAGCCUGAUGCAGCGACGCCGCGUGGGGGAUGAAGCAUCUCGGUGUGUAAACCCCUUUCGACCCGGAAGAAUGCCUCGCAAGAGGACUGACGGUACGGGUAUAAGAAGCCCCGGCUAACUACGUGCCAGCAGCCGCGGUAAGACGUAGGGGGCCAGCGUUGUUCGGAAUUACUGGGUGUAAAGGGUUCGUAGGCGGUGUGGCAAGUCGGGAGUGAAAUCUCUGGGCUCAACCCAGAGGCUGCUUCCGAAACUGCCGUGCUUGAGUGUGGGAGAGGCGCGUGGAAUUGCAGGUGUAGCGGUGAAAUGCGUAGAUAUCUGCAGGAACACCCGUGGCGAAAGCGGCGCGCUGGACCACUACUGACGCUGAGGAACGAAAGCUAGGGGAGCAAACAGGAUUAGAUACCCUGGUAGUCCUAGCCCUAAACGAUCAGGACUUGGGGUGCCACCCGUUCGGGUGUCGUCCCGGAGCUAACGCGUUAAGUCCUGCACCUGGGGAGUACGGUCGCAAGACUGAAACUCAAAGGAAUUGACGGGGGCCC
rnacentral:rRNA from 1 species